CCGGCGCGCACGCACGCUGAAAUCGCAAACCACCGCUCCGCCCGCGGGGAAGUUCGGCGGAAGGGGCGAGACGGAGAGGAGGAGGACGGGGAGGAACGGGAAGGAGGAGGAGGGUUAGCAGGGAGCCCCAACCU
rnacentral:ribozyme from 14 species